AAUCGUAACAAGGUCUCCGUUGGUGAACCAGCGGAGGGAUCAUUACCAGAGUGCCCUAGGCUCUCCAACCCAUUGUGAACUUACCAAACGUUCCCUCGGCGGGCUCAGCGCGCGGCGGCCUCCGGGCCUCCGGGCGUCCGCCGGGGAAAACCAAACCCUGAUUUAAUCGUAUUUCUCUGAGGGGCGAAAGCCCGAAAACAAAAUGAAUCAAAACUUUCAACAACGGAUCUCUUGGCUCUGGCAUCGAUGAAGAACGCAGCGAAAUGCGAUAAGUAAUGUGAAUUGCAGAAUUCAGUGAAUCAUCGAAUCUUUGAACGCACAUUGCGCCCGCCGGCACUCCGGCGGGCAUGCCUGUCCGAGCGUCAUUUCAACCCUCAGGCCCACCCUUCCGGGGGAACGGGCCUGGUUCUGGGGAUCGGCGGCCCUCGCGGCCCCCGUCCCUCAAAUUCAGUCCCGGUCGCGCCGCAGCCUCCCCUGCGUAGUAGCACAACCUCGCACCGGAGAGCGGAACGACCACGCCGUAAAACACCCAAUUUUUUAAGGUUGACCUCGGAUCAGGUAGGAAUACCCGCUGAACUUAAGCAUAUCAAUAAGCGGAGGAAUUGG
rnacentral:misc_RNA from 1 species